GCAGGCCUGCCUUAACCUGCCAUUAGGCCCUGGGGCUGAGAGGUUUCGUAGGCCCCCUGAUAGUGGGUCUUACAAUGAAAAUGUGUAAAUGCCAUGUGUCUAGAAUGCAAAACGUAUUAGUGACCCUCUCUGAGCCACAUAACAUCGCAAUAUUUAUAUUAGUAGUUUAUAGAUUACCAAAUAAUUAAAGGAACGCCAAGGUAAAACCAUGGCGCAGGAAAGUUUGAUUUAACUCCAUAUUACCAAAAUAAAACGUGAUCCGGUCUGCAGAAACACAAACACACCUAAUAACAGCAUAUUAAAAAGUAAGAGCUUCCUCUUUGGCCUCGGCAGCCUUGGGAAUCCAACACGCGCGCACACACACGCGCGAUUUCGCACGUGUUUCCAAUUAGAAAAUCCCACACUGCCAAAUGGUGAUAUUUCUAUGCUUUGGCCAAAAAGAUUGCUUGUAAACUAAACAAAGUACCUUUUGGAUGGUGAAUAGCACAGCCACUCUCUGGGCAGAUACUCCACAUUGCAGAGCUUCCGCUGGAAGUAUGCCCUCGAGAAUAAUAUUCUCUGAUGUAUGUACUAAUGUUCUGAGGCAGAGAGGUCAGAUUCUUUGUUUUGGCACAAUUCUGGUCCCAUUUUCGCCCAGUAGACGCGCACCUGUAAAUCCAUCGUGUUACCGCAGCAACCCGGGUCAGUGCUAUAGGGGUCGUCUCCUCCACAUGAGUGAGGUGAUGGUCCUCCUCCUGCUGUGUGCUCGUCCUUUUCUGCCUCUUCUCCAUGGCUAGCAGAAGAACAGCCAGAAGAACAGCUUGGCUCAGAGCACCAUCUCGCUCAUCGUUGGUUAGCGAGGCUCCGUCACCGGCAUCGCCACUGGCUAUAGGUCCAUUCACACUCUAUGUUAAAUACAGAUGGGAACCCUUUCGUCCGGUGCCGGAGGUCGUUUCGUACGUCAUUGGGUCCGUGGCCUGUGAGCUUACGAAUCCGGAGUGCUCCGGGAGAAACGGAGCAAUACCAACGGAAAUCGAGAAGUGGUCUUGGCUGCCUGCCGAGAAACUCACCUGAAUGGAAUUUAUGUGGCUGCAAUUUCCCAUGCAGCAGUGUCUUUGUCAUUGUUAUAAAGGCUUAUCAUCAGUAACAUUAACUUUACCAUGGGUUUUUGCAAGUUAUAUUUGGGUUCUAGGGAUAUAGUAAGACAUAUUUAUUAUAUAAAAAGUCAAUUGUUAGUUAAUUUCACUGAUAUAAAGGAAAUUACAAAAAUAAGCCAACGGCAAGAAUUCAAUAAAGUGCCCAGGACGCCAACUCGGGUUGCCUGUAGUACAGGGCAGAUACUAGACCACUCACCCAACUGCUGGUUCCCAAUUUUGAUAGAAUACAUACAUUUGUAUAAAAAUUAGUGCUGUCAAGUGAUACAAAUAUUUAAUGGUGAUUAAUCGCAUCAAUGCCAUAGUUAACUCAAGAUUAAUCACAAUUUUUUUUCUAUGCUAAAUAUCCCUUGAUUUCUUUGUCCCAUAAAUUUCUCAUUUUAAUGCUCUUAUCAACAUGGAGAAGUGCAUCGGCUUGCCUUGUGCAAAUGUUUUCUUAUUGAUAACAACAUUGGCAUAUACUGAUCAAAACAGGAUGAUACAAAAAAAAUGCCUAUAGUGCAAUUAAACGAUGAUAACAUACUGCCUUGAACAUAGCAAUCGGGCUACUGCUGCUUUGUUUUGAGGCAAAGAAAAAAAAAUAA